rnacentral:rRNA from 1 species
CCUGCAGGCGGUCUCGUAAGUGGGAUGUGAAAUCUCCUGGCUUAACUGGGAGGGGUCAUUCCAUACUGCGAGGCUCGAGGGCAGAAGAGGGGAGCGGAAUUCCCGGUGUAGUGGUGAAAUGCGUAGAUAUCGGGAGGAACACCAGUGGCGAAGGCGGCUUCCUGGCCUGCUCCUGACGCUAAGAGGCGAAAGCUAGGGGAGCGAACGGGAUUAGAAACCCCGGUAGUCCUAGCCAUAAACGAUGGAUACUGGGUGUCGGUGGUCCUAACCCCAUCCGGUGCCGAAGCUAACGCGUUAAGUAUCCCGCCUGGGGACUACGGCCGCAAGGUUAA